AGAAACAAAGAAAUGCAUUGCCGGGUGGGCAAGCUUGAUGAAACUGUUUCCCAGAGUUCGUCUGAUAAAAAAAGUUCACCAACCAAGCCUGAUUCUAUAAAGAGAAGCAACAAUCAAAGUGAGCUCAAAGUGGGUGCCAGUAACAAAUAUCCUUAUUUUGAUCUUCUCCAAAAUGAUUGUUCUACUUCAGGAGGACGUUUUAGGCUCAUCUCAGAGAACCCACCACAGCCAAAGAGAUUCAGAUUGGAUAAACGUCCAGGCUCAUCGAACAUCAACUUUCAGCAGCCUAGCUCAUCGGUAUCUUCUUCUAUUGAGGAGGUUGAUCCAG
rnacentral:misc_RNA from 1 species